rnacentral:rRNA from 1 species
GUUGGUGAACCAGCGGAGGGAUCAUUACCGAGUUUACAACUCCCAAACCCCUGUGAACAUACCAAUUGUUGCCUCGGCGGAUCAGCCCGCUCCCGGUAAAACGGGACGGCCCGCCAGAGGACCCCUAAACUCUGUUUCUAUAUGUAACUUCUGAGUAAAAACCAUAAAUAAAUCAAAACUUUCAACAACGGAUCUCUUGGUUCUGGCAUCGAUGAAGAACGCAGCAAAAUGCGAUAAGUAAUGUGAAUUGCAGAAUUCAGUGAAUCAUCGAAUCUUUGAACGCACAUUGCGCCCGCCAGUAUUCUGGCGGGCAUGCCUGUUCGAGCGUCAUUUCAACCCUCAAGCCCAGCUUGGUGUUGGGACUCGCGAGUCAAAUCGCGUUCCCCAAAUUGAUUGGCGGUCACGUCGAGCUUCCAUAGCGUAGUAGUAAAACCCUCGUUACUGGUAAUCGUCGCGGCCACGCCGUUAAACCCCAACUUCUGAAUGUUGACCUCGGAUCAGGUAGGAAUACCCGCUGAACUUAAGCAUAUCAAUAGGCGG